GGACGAACGCUGGCGGCGUGCCUAAUACAUGCAAGUAGAACGCUGAAGAGAGGAGCUUGCUCUUCUUGGAUGAGUUGCGAACGGGUGAGUAACGCGUAGGUAACCUGCCUUGUAGCGGGGGAUAACUAUUGGAAACGAUAGCUAAUACCGCAUAACAAUGGAUGACACAUGUCAUUUAUUUGAAAGGGGCAAUUGCUCCACUACAAGAUGGACCUGCGUCGUAUUAGCUAGUAGGUGAGGUAAUGGCGCACCUAGGCGACGAUACAUAACCGACCUGAGAGGGUGGUCGGCCACACUGGGACUGAGACACGGCCCAGACUCCUACGGGAGGCAGCAGUAGGGAAUCUGCGGCAAUAGGGGCAACCCUGACCGAGCAACGCCGCGUGAGUGAAGAAGGUUUUCGGAUCGUAAAGCUCUGUUGUAAGUCAAGAACGGGUGUGAGAGUGGAAAGUUCACACUGUGACGGUAGCUUACCAGAAAGGGACGGCUAACUACGUG
rnacentral:rRNA from 1 species